CCUACGGGAGGCAGCAGUGAGGAAUAUUGGUCAAUGGGCGAGAGCCUGAACCAGCCAAGUCGCGUGAGGGAGUACUGCCCUAUGGGUUGUAAACCUCUUUUGUCGGGGAGCAAAAGCCGGACGUGUCCGGCUGUGAGAGUACCCGAAGAAAAAGCAUCGGCUAACACCGUGCCAGCAGCCGCGGUAAUACGGAGGAUGCGAGCGUUUUCCGGAUUUAUUGGGGUAAAGGGGGGCGCAGGCGGGUUUUUAAGUCAGCGGUAAAAUCGUGGGGCUCAACCCCAUCCAGCCGUUGAAACUGGGGAUCUAGAGUGUGCGAGAGGUAUGCGGAAUGCGUGGUGUAGCGGUGAAAUGCAUAGAUAUCACGCAGAACCCCGAUUGCGAAGGCAGCAUACCGGUGCACAACUGACGCUCAGGCACGAAAGCGUGGGUAUCGAACAGGAUUAGAUACCCUUGUAGUC
rnacentral:rRNA from 1 species